GACGAACGCUGGCGGCGUGCCUAUACAUGCAAGUUGAGCGCUGAAGGUUGGUACUUGUACCAACUGGAUGAGCAGCGAACGGGUGAGUAACGCGUGGGGAAUCUGCCUUUGAGCGGGGGACAACAUUUGGAAACGAAUGCUAAUACCGCAUAAAAACUUUAAACACAAGUUUUAAGUUUGAAAGAUGCAAUUGCAUCACUCAAAGAUGAUCCCGCGUUGUAUUAGCUAGUUGGUGAGGUAAAGGCUCACCAAGGCGAUGAUACAUAGCCGACCUGAGAGGGUGAUCGGCCACAUUGGGACUGAGACACGGCCCAAACUCCUACGGGAGGCAGCAGUAGGGAAUCUUCGGCAAUGGACGAAAGUCUGACCGAGCAACGCCGCGUGAGUGAAGAAGGUUUUCGGAUCGUAAAACUCUGUUGGUAGAGAAGAACGUUGGUGAGAGUGGAAAGCUCAUCAAGUGACGGUAACUACCCAGAAAGGGACGGCUAACUACGUG
rnacentral:rRNA from 1 species